rnacentral:rRNA from 1 species
AACGCUGGCGGCAGGCCUAACACAUGCAAGUCGAGCGGUAGCACAGAGAGCUUGCUCUCGGGUGACGAGCGGCGGACGGGUGAGUAAUGUCUGGGAAACUGCCUGAUGGAGGGGGAUAACUACUGGAAACGGUAGCUAAUACCGCAUAACGUCGCAAGACCAAAGUGGGGGACCUUCGGGCCUCAUGCCAUCAGAUGUGCCCAGAUGGGAUUAGCUAGUAGGUGGGGUAAUGGCUCACCUAGGCGACGAUCCCUAGCUGGUCUGAGAGGAUGACCAGCCACACUGGAACUGAGACACGGUCCAGACUCCUACGGGAGGCAGCAGUGGGGAAUAUUGCACAAUGGGCGCAAGCCUGAUGCAGCCAUGCCGCGUGUAUGAAGAAGGCCUUCGGGUUGUAAAGUACUUUCAGCGAGGAGGAAGGCGUUAAGGUUAAUAACCUUGGCGAUUGACGUUACUCGCAGAAGAAGCACCGGCUAACUCCGUGCCAGCAGCCGCGGUAAUACGGAGGGUGCAAGCGUUAAUCGGAAAAACUGGGCGUAAAGCGCACGCAGGCGGUCUGUCAAGUCGGAUGUCAAAUCCCCGGGCUCAACCUGGGAACUGCAUUCGAAACUGGCAGGCUAGAGUCUUGUAGAGGGGGGUAGAAUUCCAGGUGUAGCGGUGAAAUGCGUAGAGAUCUGGAGGAAUACCGGUGGCGAAGGCGGCCCCCUGGACAAAGAGUGACGCUCAGGUGCGAAAGCGUGGGGAGCAAACAGGAUUAGAUACCCUGGUAGUCCACGCCGUAAACGAUGUCGACUUGGAGGUUGUGCCCUUGAGGCGUGGCUUCCGGAGCUAACGCGUUAAGUCGACCGCCUGGGGAGUACGGCCGGAAGGAAAAAACUCAAAUGAAUUGACGGGGGCCCGCACAAGCGGUGGAGCAUGUGGUUUAAUUCGAUGCAACGCGAAGAACCUUACCUACUCUUGACAUCCAGAGAACUUAGCAGAGAUGCUUUGGUGCCUUCGGGAACUCUGAGACAGGUGCUGCAUGGCUGUCGUCAGCUCGUGUUGUGAAAUGUUGGGUUAAGUCCCGCAACGAGCGCAACCCUUAUCCUUUGUUGCCAGCGGUCCGGCCGGGAACUCAAAGGAGACUGCCAGUGAUAAACUGGAGGAAGGUGGGGAUGACGUCAAGUCAUCAUGGCCCUUACGAGUAGGGCUACACACGUGCUACAAUGGCAUAUACAAAGAGAAGCGACCUCGCGAGAGCAAGCGGACCUCAUAAAGUAUGUCGUAGUCCGGAUUGGAGUCUGCAACUCGACUCCAUGAAGUCGGAAUCGCUAGUAAUCGUAGAUCAGAAUGCUACGGUGAAUACGUUCCCGGGCCUUGUACACACCGCCCGUCACACCAUGGGAGUGGGUUGCAAAAGAAGUAGGUAGCUUAACCUUCGGGAGGGCGCUUACCACUUUGUGAUUCAUGAC